CGGACGGGUGAGUAACGCGUGGAAAACCUGCCGUAUACUGGGAGAUAACACUUAGAAAUAGGUGCUAAUACCGCAUAAGCGCACAGCUUCGCAUGAAGCGGUGUGAAAAACUCUGGUGGUAUACGAUGGUUCCGCGUCUGAUUAGCUAGUUGGUGGGGUAAUGGCCUACCAAGGCAACGAUCAGUAGCCGGCCUGAGAGGGUGAACGGCCACAUUGGGACUGAGACACGGCCCAAACUCCUACGGGAGGCAGCAG
rnacentral:rRNA from 1 species